rnacentral:sRNA from 1 species
GCUGGGCGUGGUGGCACACGCCUGUAAUCUCAGCAGCUUGGGAGGCUGAGACAGGAGGAUCACAAGUUCAAGGCCAGCCUCAGCAAUGGAGAGGCGCUAAGCAACUCAGUGAGACCCUGUCUCUA